rnacentral:rRNA from 1 species
CCCUUAGAUGUUCUGAACCGCACGCGUGUUACAAUGAUGUGUUCAACGAGCAUAUAACCUUGGCCGAGAGGCCUGGGCAAUCUUUUUAAUACACAUCGUGUUAGGGAUAGAUUAUUGCAAUUAUUAAUCUUGAACGAGGAAUUCCUAGUAAACGCAGAUCAUCAAUCUGCAUUGAUUACGUCCCUGCCCUUUGUACACACCGCCCGUCGCUCCUACCGAUUGGGUGUGCUGGUGAAAUGUUCGGAUCGGCCGUUUGUCGCGGUUUCCGCGGCUCGUGGCUGAGAAGUUCAUUAAACCCUCCCACCUAGAGGAAGGAGAAGUCGUAACA